GACGAACCGUGCGAACGUUAUUCGGAAUCACUGGGCUUAAAGCGCGCGUAGGCGGGAGGGCACGUCCGUUGCUGAAAUCCCCCGGCUCAACCGGGGAACGGGCGCGGAUACGACUCUCCUUGAGGGGCGUAGGGGGACCUGGAACUUCCGGUGGAGCGGUGAAAUGCGUUGAGAUCGGAAGGAACGCCCGUGGCGAAAGCGAGGUCCUGGACGCCUACUGACGCUGAGACGCGAAAGCCAGGGGAGCGAACGGG
rnacentral:rRNA from 1 species